AGCAGUAGCCGCGGUAAUACGGAGGGUGCAAGCGUUAAUCGGAAUUACUGGGCGUAAAGCGCACGCAGGCGGUCUGACAAGUCAGAUGUGAAAUCCCCGGGCUUAACCUGGGAACUGCAUUUGAAACUGUCAGGCUGGAGUCUUGUAGAGGGGGGUAGAAUUCCAGGUGUAGCGGUGAAAUGCGUAGAGAUCUGGAGGAAUACCGGUGGCGAAGGCGGCCCCCUGGACAAAGACUGACGCUCAGGUGCGAAAGCGUGGGGAGCAAACAGGAUUAGAGACCCCGGUAGUCCUGUCUCUUAUACC
rnacentral:rRNA from 1 species